AGAGAAGGAGAGGAAGCAGAGCACAUGGGAGCAGUGGAGCUAGUUGGAGAAGCUUAAUUCAGAUCAAAUAUUUCUCUUUUCUUUAUAUAUAAAUUGUAAUGUUUUUUAAAAAGACAUUUCAAUUAUUUUCUGCAAGAAAAGCAUAUUGCCAAAGGGGAUAGAUAGAUAGGUGUUAAUACUCUUUCAAAUCUUCCCAAUACAAGCAUGUGAAAGACCUUGUUGUAGGACAGGUCUGUGGCACUAAUAUUGUAGGUCCCAUUUCUUUUAUUUGUAUUCAAAUACUAUAUAUUAUUUAUGAUACCAUAUACUAACAAAUGUAAAAAAUGUAUGUCUAUAUGUUUGAUACUGCGAAAGCCACCACAUAGAUAUGACAAUUGGGAAACACAAGUGGUGGGUCUCUCUAU